GACCCUUAGGAGCUUGUCAUGUGGUUAAAUCAAGAUUUCACUUGCACGUUCACUCAUAUAUGCUACUUCUAUUCCGGAAGUACCAUCCACAUAUAUCCAUCCAUUUCCAUCUCCAGAAUCACCUAAAAAUAUUCUACUCCUAAUCCGGGAGAGAAUAACCAAAAAUAUUUCUGUUUUCCCUUGUGAAAUAAAUGCUCAAGUUAUCUUGUUACUACCACUUGCUAUAUUAUCUCAAGAGAUGAGUGCUCUAAAAAAAUAUAAUAAAUACGAGGAAAUAAAAAGGAGCAAGUGCUCGGAACCUCGAAAGAAAAGAAAAAGUGAGACGAGAGGUAAAAAUGGACAAGUGUCCGACAGUAGAAUUAGGGGUACAAGAUACCCACCUGAGAGAAAAGAAAAAGAAGAGCAUCUCAUUCUCCUCAUAAAAUUUCAAAAAGCAAGGAAGGUAUGUAUCCCCUCAAAAGAGCAAAGUAGAAUUAGACUUUCACCAUUGUUAUCACCAUCAUCACCAUACACCAUUCAUUCGCCACACAUGCACAUCUUGAUUAAACUUAUUGAUUUGUUUCUUUGGAUCCAUGGUUUGACUAUGCAAUACAUGUCUUGUAAGUAUGUAUACUUUAUCUCCCACCUAUGAGCUCUGUUGGGUAUUCUUAACAUCAUUACCAAAAGUAGACUAAGUUCUAAAUCUAGCAACGGUGCCAAAAAUGCCAAACCUAUCCCUCACACCACUUAAGCCAAGUUGUCAUCCCCAGCAUGACAUGAGAGACGCGGUAUUGAAAUAUGCAAUUGCUCUUCUAAAUAAAUAAUGAAUGGGAUCUGCAAGCGCACAGAUUAAUACCGAUGUAGCAUUUUAACCGGGAAGUAUUCCAGGUAUCGUUAUUUAUAUUUUUACCACUGGGAAGGGAUUAAUCAAUCAUCACUAUUGAUUACAGAAUAGAAUAUGAGAUUGAGCAUCUAUCAUUGCAUGUAUAAUUGAGAACAUUAUAUCUAACUCUUCAUACAGGGAUAAGUGUCACAUAAUAGAUAUAUGAAAUGAUAAUAGUGACAAGGAUAACUAAUCUGAACUAGCCACAUAAUAAAUAUGAUAAGCACCUCAAUUAGAUACUCUAGAAAGUCAUUAGCAUGGUAUUAGAACGAACUACAAGAAUAUUCCCUAAGUUAUUCUUAACUAUAUAGUCUAGCAUAUCAUAGUUAGUGCAAGCAUACUUAGCAAUCAUUGCGAGACAAGACUACGCCCAUGCAUAGUGAUAUUAGCAAGGAAUAUGAGAAACAUAGCAAUCACUCCCCUGUAAUAAUGUUGCUCUGCCAGCCCAAUACACGAGAGGGGGACUAUAUAAGAAUCAAUGAAGCUGUCACUAUCACGAACUACCCCACGAUCUGGCAUAUUGGGUACAAUCGCAGAUAAAUACGGUAUAAGCACCACGCCUACACAAUAUCUAUCAUUUACCCAUGGAUCCGAUGGAUAAACGCUAUACGAUCCUAAGCAUGUAUAUAGAUCGUAUCUAACUAAGCCAAGUACAUAACUAUGAUAAACUAAGAACAAUAUAAUCUUGAAUAUAAGCAAAUAGAGCAAAGUCAUAAGCAAUAUAUUGAAGUAGAACAAAGUCAUAUUCAUAAUAUUGAAGAACAAAGAUAAUUAGAAAGCAAUUAGAAGCACAAUUAGAGAAUUACCAAGAAUCCUCCUGACAGAUCCGGAAACCAAUCGAAGAUUGACUCCUUCUAGUUCUAAUCCUAUGUAGCUAUGCUAAUCUAGAUAUCUAAUUGAUGUGGUGGCUCUAAUCUUGAUCAGAGGCUUCUUCUCCCUUGAUGGAACAAUGAAUUAGGGUUGAGAGGCUCUCUCCUCCAGGGGCAGGGGGUCCGGUUUUAUAGUCCCUUCAAGUGAAUAUGGGCCCUUGGAUCAAACCGACAUAAAUUGUAUGGUUUAGAUUCAUCCUUUAGGUCGGUGGAGACUUCCCGCAAAGCAGAGUCCUGAUUGGACUUAGGGGCAGGGCGGGCGCCCAGUUGGACUGGGCGGGCGCCCUGUCUCUGGCCCCGAUUCGCCUCCGCUUCGGUCUCGUGGCUUCUGGAGUCUUCUGGAUGUAAGAUAAUUGCGCAGCAUGUUAAUAUCUUUACGUAAUCCUGACAUGUGGGCCUUUCUUCCAUAUUUCCUGAUAACCCCCUGCAGAAAUAGACAAACACCAUAACUCGUGGAAUUCUGUCAGAUAAAACCCUAAGUCUAGAUCUUUAUUUCAUUUGGAUCCUUUUCUUUAUUUAUUUGAUAAUUAAAUUUGAUACUUAAGGACCGUCAGCAAGCUCCAGAUAUUAAAGCCUUAUUAGAGUAGGGUGAGCGAUAAGAUAAUGUCACUAUGCUUUAUACCACAAAUACAUAUUGAGAGAAGGCAUAUACCAUCACUGCCUUGGUAAGGAUCCAGAAAUACCACAAAAGAGAGAUUUAGAGAGUCAUACAAGGAAUCUCUGAGUUUUAUUUGAAAAUCUGCAAAAACCCCAGAGCUAUAGCUGAUCAAGAAUAAGAGACAUGGCACUUGACUAGACUGUUCUAUCUUUUAACUACUCAAGAUAGAAGUGACAGUUACAAGUCCCAUGGUAAAGGUAAAGUAAGUAAGUUUUAAGUCUUGACAGUAUUACUCUAACUCAGAGAUAAGAUCUUAUUUAAAAAGCAUGUGUACCGUCAAAUUUUAAAAAUAUUGCAACAACUUAUGAUCCAUAGCUGAGUCUAUCCUUGCUCAGGGACGAGCAAGAGGUAAGCUUGGGGGAGUUUGUUGACGGUCCUUAAGUAUCAAAUUUAAUUAUCAAAUAAAUAAAGAAAAGGAUCCAAAUGAAAUCAACAUCUAGACUCAGGGUUUUAUCUGACAGAAUGCCACGAGUUUUGGUGUUUGUCUAUUUCUGCAGGGGGUUAUCAGGAAAUACGAAAGAAAGGCCCACACGUCGGGAUUACAUAGAGAUAUUAACGUGCUGCGCAAUUAUCUUACAUCUAGAAGACUCCAGAAGCCACGAGACCGAAGCGGAGGCGAAACGGGGCCAGAGACAGGGCGCCCGCCCUGUCCUACUGGGCGCCCGCCCUGCCCCUGUGUCCAAUCAGGACUCUGCUUUGCGGGAGAUCUCCACCGACCUAAAGGAUGAAUCUAAACCAUACAAUCUAUGUCGGUUUGAUCCAAGGGCCCAUAUUCACUUGGAGGGACUAUAAAACCAGACCCCCUGGCCCCUGGAGGAGAGAGCCUCUCAACCCUAAUUCAUUGUUCCAUCAAGGGAGAAGAAGCCUCUGAUCAAGAUUAGAGCCACCACAUCAAUUAGACAUCUAGAUUAGCAUAGCUACAUAGGAUUAGAACUAGAAGGAGUCAAUCUUCGAUUGGUUUCCGGAUCUGUCAAGAGGAUUCUUGGUAAUUCUCUAAUUGUGCUUCUAAUUGCUUUCUAAUUAUCUUUGUUCUUCAAUAUUAUGAAUAUGACUUUGUUCUACUUCAAUAUAUUGCUUAUGACUUUGCUCUACUUCCUUAUAUUCAAGAUUAUAUUGUUCUUAGUUUAUCAUAGUUAUGUACUUGGCUUAGUUAGAUUGGAUCUAUAUACAUGCUUAGGAUCGUAUAGCGUUUAUCCAUCGGAUCCAUGGGUAAAUGAUAGAUAUUGUGUAGGCGUGGUGCUUAUACCGUAUUUAUCUGCGAUUGUACCCAAUAUGCCAGAUCGUGGGGUGGUUCGUGAUAGUGACAGCUUCAUUGAUUCUUAUAUAGUCCCCCUCUCGUGUAUUGGGCUGGCAGAGCAACAUUAUUACAGGGGAGUGAUUGCUAUGUUUCUCAUAUUCCUUGCUAAUAUCACUAUGCAUGGGCGUAGUCUUGUCUUGCAAUGAUUGCUAAGUAUGCUUGCACUAAUUAUGAUAAUGCUAGACUAUAUAGUUAAGAAUAACUUAGGGAAUAUUCUUGUAGUUCGUUCUAAUACCAUGCUAAUGACUUUCUAGAGUAUCUAAUUGAGGUGCUUAUCAUAUUUAUUAUGUGGCUAGAUCAGAUUAGUUAUCCUUGUCACUAUUAUUAUUUCAUAUAUCUUUUAUGUGACACUUAUCCCUGUAUGAAGAGUUAGAUAUAAUGUUCUCAAUUAUACAUGCAAUGAUAGAUGCUCAAUUUCAUAUUCUAUUCUGUAAUCAAUAGUGAUGAUUUCUAAUCCCUUCCCAGUGGUAAAAAUAUAAAUAAUGAUACCUGGAAUACUUCCCGGUUAAAAUGCUGCAUCGGUAUUAAUCUGUGCGCUUGCAGAUCCCAUUCAUUAUUUAUUUAGAAGAGCAAUUGCAUAUUUCAAUACCGCGUCUCUUAUAUCGUGCUGGGGAUGACAACUUGGCUUAAGUGGUGUGAGGGAUAGGUUUGGCAUUUUUGGCACCGUUACUAGAUUUAGAGAACUUAGUCUACUUUUGGUAAUGAUGUUAAGAUUACCCAACAGUAGCCUUAGGGUAGUGACAGCCCUAACGGUCGACGUAUUCCACCUCGUUCGGAUCGGUGUUUGUAGGACCGUAGUCAGAGCUUCCCAGCCCUCUUCUCAUCUCUUUCUGUGGUUGGUGUUCUGAUGUCCCAAAGUGCUAAUAUGUGAUUUCUAUAUCUAUUCAUUCUUUGUUAUCAUAGAACUGAAGUAAUAGAGAAGUAUAUAGGAACCCAGGUCUCUUCCGUUGUCCUCUCGUUAUGGCUAUCUACGCAUUUAUCAUAGAAUUCUCACCUUUAUAUUAUUACUUAUCAUAUAUCAUUUACCCCUACUUUAGUCUAGUUGGUUUAUUAAAUUAGUAGAUGCAUGAUAGUAAGUUAUCAAAUUCUUUGACCUUAGCUUCCCAGUGGUAAAAUAUAAAUAACGAUACCUGGAAUACUCCCGGUAAAAUGCUACGAUGAUGUUCUGUGCGCUUGCAGAAUUUUUCUUAUUCUUAUUGCACUUAACGAAUGUCAACAAGCAUUUUUGGCGCCGUUGCCGGGGAAGCAAUUGGUGUGAAGAUUUUGAUAAUGAUCUUGAUGUCUGCUAAUUUAAUGUAUCACUAGCUUUAGUAGGUUUAUUGUAUUUAUCUCUUUUGCAUUUGUUUUUAGCAUAUUUAUUUUUCAUCAUCAUUUCUCUAUAACAUAUUUAUCUUUCUGCAUUAUUAUUGCAUUAGAAAAUAUAAUAAAAAUAUUUUAUAUAACUCAUUGCAUCUUAAAUACUAAAACCCCAUGUGAAUAAAUUGUGUGGUGUGUAAAAGCCCACACGGAUAUUCACCGUGGUGGAAUAAAAAAAAUAAAUAAAUAAAAGUAAAUAAACAUGCAUUCAUCCUGUUCCAUUUCCUUUUGCUUCAUAAAAAGAUUAAAACCCAAAUAUAUAUAUAUAUAUAUAUUAAGAAAGAGAUCUUGUUGAAACUCUGCUUAGAAAAAGAAUUAAGAAAAAUCUAAAAAGCUUGGAGAACUAUGGCUUAAGUGGCCAACUACUAAUGUUUAAUCGGUGCCACAAGUUUUGUUGUCUAUUUGAGUUUAACAUGAUUUAAAGAGAGAAUCCCCAAUGAUCAAGAUAUCUUCAUCAACUUGGAAGCGCUGCAAUCAUCACUGACAUUUUGAAGGUCAAGAAUAUUGAAUAACAUCUGUGUUGUGCGGAUUCAAGGUUAGAGACUAUGUCAACAUUCAGCUUGGGGGAAGCAAUCCCAUUAUCUUCGAGAUUCAGGCUUGAAGUAAAAGAGUGAAGAAUAACAACAAGGUAUGUCCAACCAAUCAUCAUGCAACAUUGAAUUAAAUUCAUCCAAACUUGACUUGUUCAAGCUGGGGGAAAUACCUUACACAAAAACAUCCUUUGCCAUGUUGCUAUGUUGGUUGUCCCUACCCUUAAGACAUGCUCAAUUUGUUAAACACUAAUCAUUCUACCUCAUCCCCACUUGAGUAGAUCUCUAUAAUGUUGUCAUGCUACCUUUGUCUAUUCACAAGUAAGUGUUGGUUUGAAAGUACUUGACAUACUUCCAUUGGCAUUUAAAUUAAGCAUGAUGCUUAUGUUAAAUAGCCUUCCUUAAUCCGAUUAGACAUGGAGUCUAGUUUGGUUAUUGAACUAAAAACUGCUUGUGUAGACACUGGUAUAUUUUGUUGGACUAACCCCUGCAGGAAAAUUCAAUAUCAAUUUGAGAAGUCCUGAGAUAAAUUCAGAAUAGAGAUAAAGAGGGAGACACAUGAAGUUUAACAAUUUGCACAAGAAAGACAUAGCUCGUCCAUCAUAGAGACAUAUUCCAUGGAAUGAGACGAAGAGUGCCACGAACAAGAUGCAUAACCAUUGAGAAAGAAAAGCUUCCACAAGGUGAUAUUGUACCAUCACUCUUCAAUUAAGAUAACAUCUUAAGGUAUGUGACUGUCACUAUUAUAAGCUUCUCCUUGAUUCUAGCAUGCACAUGGAUAAAAAGACAAACAUGUAUGAUUUAUAACUCCAAAUUAACCAACCCAAUUGUUUCAACAUGUUUAGUCCUUUAAUCUUUGUUCCCGGUACUACCUUCUUGAUCCCACACUCUUAACCAUAUGAGCUAAAAUGUUGCACAUCCGAUCUUUGGAAAAUGAUAGUCAUGUAAAAAAAUAUUUACUUAGAUAGAUUAUCUUUCCAUAAGGUUGAGUGAUCUGAUCUGACAAAUGUUUUAAAUGCUACACUCAUGAUCUUAUCAUCCAUCAACUUUGUCUUGCUCACUAUGCUUAAGGUUAGAGAAGAACAAAUACACUUUUGGUUCUGUUGGUGUUUUCCACCAACAGGGCCCAUGCACUUGAUCUUUGCCUUGUCUCUAUGAGCAGGAUACACUUCGAGCAAAACAUGGAGGAGUUUUACAACUUCCAGACUCUACCAAGUGAAGGACCUGGAUCUACGAGCACAAACACACUGAGGAGGAUGCUGCCAACGCCGCACUUCGAACUGCUGGGCAAACGAAAAACAUGGGUGACACCGUAUCAAGAGGUGCAGAUGUCAAGGUCCACACCUAACUCAAAUGACGCACCUAAAGAAUAAACAUGGUGAGAAGUCUUGUUCAGAAGACUUAAAAUAUUGAACCCUCGCCGAAAGGCAAAAUCAGUAGUUAUCCAUAUUUAUCCUUUCUGCGUUCCUUUUUGUCUUAAAUUAUUUACUUUCCUUAAAUAGCUUGUUAGUUAAUCAUGCUAUCUUGAAAAGAAAAUAAAAAUGUUAAAAACAGUAAGCCCCAUGUGAGUAUGCUCGUGGCAUAAAACUCAUUCACUGUGGUGGCGUCAAAAAUAAAAUAAAUAUAUUCUUGUCCUGUAAAAAUAAAAAUAUAAAAAUAAAUUUAUGAUCCUACUAAAGAGAGUAAUAUUUAUUAGAGGAAGCUCAACAUGAUAAAGGCUAAGAGAUUUUAUCCUAACACUUAACCAGUUCCACAAAGCUUUGUUGUCUAUUUGAGCUCCACAGAAUUCAAGGAUCAAGAAAGACUGGUAGACGGAGGAUAUCCUAAUCACUAUCAAGGUGCUGCCAACAUUCAAAUACACCUACGCCACCUACUAGCUACAUCAGAAGAAAUUACAUUAAAAUCCAGCUUGGGGAGAGCACCCCUAUUUAUCCAGCUAAGUGUUUCUGCUCACAUUUAUAUUUUACUAAAAAAAAUGCAUAAUCAUAAAAACCCAAUUAAACAUUUUGUGCUUAUAUAUAUCUUUGCUUAGUUUGCUAAAUAAAUAAAUAAAGUAUCUAUGCCAAACUGAACUUCAAUGUUAAACUCUUACAUGGAUAUGAUGAAUAGUUACUCUGCCAAGUACCUAGUUUUCAAAUUUGAGCUCUCUCUCAAGUUUAGGCAUGACUGUUAUUAAUUAAGAUUUGCUCUAAACCUAAACUUGUGGGAAGAGUACCUGAUAUAAAGUCUAAGUCGUUAACGGAUACGAUAUGGAAAGGUUGAGCUGCUGUUUAUCUGUUCCUAGAGAUGCUAGAAUUUUGGAGAAUUUUAUUUUUGAAAAUCUUUAAAAUAUUACAUGAUGAGUUCCUAUAUGAUGAGAGUUUAAAAUCCUACCACAACCAUAUAUACAAGCUUAUUAGACUAUGAACCAUACAUUUACUUUUUACUGCUUAUGAGCAUUGAGUGUGGUCAAAGCUGUGUAGACCCUUAGGAGCUUGUCAUGCGGUUAAAAUCAAGAUUCACUUGCACGUUCACUCAUACAUGCUGCUUCUACUCCAGAAGUAUGCAUCCACAUACAUCCACUCAUUUCCAUAUCCAGAUUCACCCAAAAUUAUUCAACUCCUAACUAGGAGAGAAUAGCCAAAAGCAUUAUCCUAUCCCUGUUAUUCCCCGUGAAAUAAAUGCUCGAGAUAUUUUGGUUACUACCACUUGCUACAUUAUUCCAGGAGGGUGAGUGCUCUGAAAAAAAGUGAGUACGAGAAAAUAAAAAGGGGCAAGUGCCCGAAACCUCUAAAAAAAGAAGAAAAAAAGUGAGACGAGAGGUAAAAAUGGACAAGUGUCCGACAGUAGAAUUAGGGGUACAAGAUACCCACCUGAGAGAAAAGAAAAAUAAAAUAUAGAGCAUCUCAUUCCCCUCAAAAGCCUCAAGUGCAAGAAAGGUAUGUACCCCCUCAAAAGAGCAAAAGUAGAAUUAGACUUUCAUCAUUAUUUUCACCAUUAUCACCAUUCAUUCUCCACACAUGCACAUCUUGAUUUGACUUAUUGACUUGUUCUUCUGAAUCCAUGGUUUGACUAUGCAAUAAGUGUCUUGUAAGUAUGUAUUAGCUGUCUCCCACCUAUGAGCUCCAGAUAUCAAAACCUUAUUAGAGUAGGGUGAGAGAGAAGGCAAUAUCACUAUGCCUCAUACCAAAAAUACCACAUACUUUGAGAGAAGGCAUACACCAUUACUGCCUUGGUAAGGAUCCAGAAAUACCCCAAAAGAGAGACUAGAGAGAGUCAUAGAAGGAAUCUCUGAGUUUUAUUUGAAAAUCUGCAAAAACUCGAGAGCAAUAUUUAAUAGAAGAACAAGAGACAUGGCGUUUGACUAGACCGUUCUAUCUUUUAACUGCUCAAGACAUAAGUGACGGUUGCAAGCCCCAUGGUGGAAGGUAAAAUGAGUAUGUUUAAAUCUUAACAGUUUACCCUAACCCAGAUAUGAGAUCUUGUUUGAACGCAUGUGUACCUUUAAGGCAUGAAACCACUGCAGAAACUCUUGAGUCCAUCUUUGCUCAGGGACGAGCAAAGGUUAAGCUUGGGGAAACUUGUUGACGGUCCUUAAUGCUCACAUUUAACCGUCAACUAAUCAUGAAAAAGGAUCCAAAUGCAACCGACACCUAGACUUAGAGUUUCAUCUGACAUAUUUCCACGAGUUUUGGUGUUUGUCUAUUUCUGCAGGGGGUUAUCAGGAAAUAUGAAGGAAAAGGCCCACACGUCGGGUUUACAUAGAGAUAUUAACAUGCCGCGCAAUUUUCUAUCAUCUAGAAGACUCCAGAAGCUACGGGA
rnacentral:lncRNA from 1 species